AUGGGCGCCGGCGGGAAGGCCGGGAAGGCGCGGCGGGCGGCGCGGGUGAGCCUCUGGGUGGCGCGCGCCAGCACCACCGUGCUGCUCUGGACCUGCGUCGUCGUGCUGCUCGCGGCGGCCUUCGGGGAGCACCUGGCACCCAGCGUGCUGGGCCUGAGCGGGGUCUGGUCCGGCUGCCUCGCGCAGACGCUCGUCAUCGUGCAGCGCCCGCUGCUGCUGCCGGCGGACCGCGAGAGGGUCGCCGCCACCGCCACCGCCGCCGCCGUCGCGCUACCGCUGCCACCCAAGCGAAUCUACAAGAACAAUGGCUAUCUGAUGGUGUCCUGCAAUGGCGGUCUCAACCAGAUGCGCGCCGCUAUAUGCGAUAUGGUGACGGUUGCAAGAUACUUGAAUGUCACACUCAUCGUGCCGGAGUUGGAUAAAACUUCAUUUUGGGCUGAUCCUAGUGAGUUCCGAGAUAUAUUUGAUGUGGACUACUUCAUAGCAUCAUUGAGAGAUGAGGUCCGGAUACUGAAAGAGCUCCCUCCACGGCUGAAAAAGAGAGUUGAACAGGGAUAUCUUCGCUCCAUGCCGCCUGUCAGCUGGUCUGAUAUAUCCUAUUACCAUAAUCAGAUUUUACCAAUAUUAAAGAAGUACAAAGUUCUCCAUCUGAAUAAAACAGAUGCUCGGCUUGCAAAUAAUGGCCUACCCAUGGAGAUUCAGAAACUGAGGUGCCGUGUCAAUUUUGAUGCAUUGAGAUUUACCCCUGAAAUAGAAGAGCUGGGCAGGCGUGUGGUUCAAAUUCUUCGUCAGAAUGGACCCUUUGUGGUUCUCCACUUGCGGUAUGAGAUGGACAUGCUUGCCUUCUCCGGGUGUACACAUGGUUGCAGCAACGAGGAGGCCGAGGAGCUCACAAGAAUGAGAUACGCUUACCCAUGGUGGAAAGAGAAAGUGAUCGACUCCAAGGCGAAGAGGAAAGACGGGCUCUGUCCAUUAACACCAGAGGAGAUUGCGAUGGUACUAAAGGCACUCGACAUUGAUCGCCAUUAUCAAAUAUAUAUUGCUGCUGGUGAAAUAUAUGGUGGACAAAGAAGAAUGGCUGCACUGACCUCAGCUUAUCCCAAUGUGGUAAGAAAGGAGACGUUAUUGCCUUCAGGACUCAGGUUUUUCCAGAACCAUUCUUCCCAGAUGGCAGCAUUGGAUUAUAUGGUGUCCUUGGAGAGUGAUGUUUUCAUCCCCACUUAUGAUGGUAACAUGGCAAAAGUUGUUGAAGGCCAUCGCAGAUACUUGGGGUUCAAGAAGACAGUGCUACUUGACCGGAAACUUAUAGUUGAGCUGGUGGAUGAGUACAAAAACGGCACAUUGAGCUGGGCCGAUUUCUCCUCCUCUGUGAAGGCAUCACACACGAGCCGCAUGGGCGCGCCGUCCAGGAGGCAGGUGAUUCCGGACAAACCCAAGGAAGAGGACUACUUCUACGCGAAUCCUCAUGAGUGCUUGCACCAACCGGAUGAGCUAUCAGCUCUAUGA
rnacentral:rRNA from 1 species